AAUAUAUGACGCCGUUGACUUUUCUCACGUGUUUGACCAUUCGUCUUAUUUAAAAAAUUUACGUAAUUAUAAUUUAUUUUGUUAUGAGUUGUUUUAUCACUCAUAGUACUUUAAGUGUGAUUUAUAUCUUACACAUUUGCAUAGAAUUUUUGAAUAAAACGAAUGGUCAAACAUGUGAGAAAAAAGUCAAUGGCGUCAUUUAUU
rfam:Oryza glaberrima chromosome 5 Oglab05_0118_18, whole genome shotgun sequence.